UAAAUGAGCUAAUAGAAAAAAUUAAGUAAGUAAACACUUACACGAACAACAAAUAAAAAACAAAUAUUCAGCAAAACUACAAAUAACAGACAAGCAACAAAAAGAUCCAAACAGCUACAAACAUAAGCAAGGCUAUUCCGCAAGAUUUACGCCAAAAAAAUAAAAAAAUUGCUAGAACUAACUUAACUGAAAAUAUAUAAACAUAAAGAAGAAAAAACACAAAAGUAGCAAACCCUCAACAAUAGACAUACGCCAUGCUCAUUAUUUAUUGCAAACUGCGUUGCAAAAGCUGGCACAAAGCUUUCAACAGCAACAACAACAACAUUUUCAACGAAUGCGAUUUUCCAAGCCACGCAUGCACGUAGCAGUGCACUCACACAACAAAGAAGAAAGACAGUGAGAAAGUCAUGCAACUGUAAGCACUCUCCUAACAUAGGUACGUUCGCACUGCCUAGAAAUAACAGUAAAUACACAGGCAAAUGAGCUUUAUGCAUGAGAGCGACGCGCGCAACAAGGAGCGCACGUUCUUGAGUAAAUCACAUGAAACGCAAGCAACGCUUCUAGAUCAGCGAUGGGCAGGGAGAGCUUUUACUCUGCACGCGACUAUACAAAAUGUAUAGAAAGCUUAAAAGAACUUUGCCCGCGGGCAAGGCGGUGUCCAUCACCGUUCUAGAUACAUACAGAACAACAACACAUACCCAAAACUAAAUACUUGUGCUUUGAGCACUGUGACACAAGAAUGUUAGAGAGUAAAGAACAUUAACAACAGAACAUAUAAAUAAAAAAAAUUGCGUAAAAGUUAGAAAGGAACGAACCAAAGUAGAUAAAUAAUAAGAAAAUGAGAAAAAGAGAAACAGAGAAAAAGAAUGCACGAGAGAGACAGAAAAAGAGAAAGAAACCUAAAACGAAAAUGCCUUCAAAAUUAAAGUAAAAAUUAAAAAAAAAAUAUAUAUAUAUAUAAAGAAGAUAUUAUUAUUUAAUAUUAUGAGUACGCGAAUUUUGGCAUACAUAACAACAACAACAAAAAAAUAUAUAAGUUAGAACCAAAAAAAAAAAAACCUACCUAAAACCACAACAACAACAAAUUAAUUGCAAAUUAGAAAGUUGUAUAAGACAAAAAGUAAAACAAUUAAGCAAACAAAAAAACAUUUAAGUAUUAACAACUUAACAACCAUUUUUCAAAACGAACUCUACUCAAUUUCAUUCUGCGCUAAUUGAUACUCAAGUUCACUUGAAAUUUUUGAAAGCAAAAAAUACAAACCGUUAUAGACUCAAUACUCUUGACGAAGUUUACAAAUAUACUCUUUAACAUAGACCGUAUGAUGAAAACUAAAAACUAACCUUACAUAAAUUUCACUAACCAAAAGAAUUAGUUCGUUCUCCUAAUUCAAGUAAUUAAUAAAACCUUUAUGUAUGUACUCGUAAAUGCAACCUCAACCACAGCAUUGCUGCACUAAUUGCAAAACCAUACUUAAAAAAUCAUACCAAAAAAAAAGCAGGAAAUUGCAUUUCAAAUUGAACGAAUCAGACAAACUGCAGCAAAUCGAAUCAUUUACUGUUAAUUGGAAUUUGUUAUUGAUAUUGGCAAAUUGAUAUUUACAUAAAAGCAAGCUAUGAAACACUUUUUUCAAGAAACAGCGGCUAAUCUGUACAAUUUCUUUCUUUUACUCAACUCCCUCCCAAAAAAAAAAAAAAUAAAAUAAAACUUCCAAAACACACAAUGAGCCCUAUCCUCUGAGAUAACACAGAAACGAAGAAACUGCAAAUUUAUGGUUUUUUGUUAAAUCAUUUAUGUUUGUACAUAAAAAAAGUGCAAGUAAACGGCAGAAAAACACAAAUUAAAGUUAUGACAUAAAAGAGAAAAAUCGCAUUUGCAUUCAAGUUUGUAAAGAGUAAGCAAGAAUAUUGUCGACACACACUAGCCCUAACAGCAACAACACCGAAACAACAAAGAAACAAGCAAACAAAAAACAUCCAACCAGGCUUACAACUACAACAACAACUAGCCAACAUCUGGUCUUACUUAACAUGAAUCCAUAUUGAAAUACGAAGUGCUGUAACGAUUCCACAUUCAACCAAGAGGCUACACAACAAUUCAGCGAUUUGCACUCCAAAAGCGAAUACAUUUGUAACUUUGUGCGUUUUUCUUUACCGAAUUAUUACUUAUGUACUUAUGUGUACUAACUUAGCCGUAUACUUGUGUAACUAUCCAUACUUUAUGUACUCUAUGUUUGACUUUAUGUAGGAUGUCCUACGUACAUAUUUUUAUCAAUAUUUACAUUCAAGCGAUAUGUUUUUUUGUAACAUCACAAAGUAAACUUCUAUAAUGUCGAGUUUGCACGUGGCAUUCAAUGACAAAAUUCACAAAAAAAAAGGCAAUGGCACCUAAAGCGAAUGUUAUAUGGAAACUGAUGAUUACAGUACUUGUUAGAAGUCAACGCGGAAGAAGGACUGAAAUUUUGUCAAUUCAAUGCCUAGUGAAAAUUCGGCUUAACCAAAUAUGGAAAUUUUCUUAGGUUAGCAUCGAAAAAAUUCUGUCUUUAAUUUUUACUUUUACUUAUUUGUCUGUUAGUGAUCAUUUUUCGCAAAGGUCAAGAUUAAACAAACAUCCUUCUUUUCCAAAUUAAUAAAUAAAGUUAAUCGGUAAAACACUAUAUCUAUGAAACUUAAACUCUAUUCGGAAUACACUCAAUUUCGUUUGAAUUACGCUACUUAGGUAAAUUGCGUGGUGGUGGCUGUGUAUUUAAACGAUAACCACGAAGAGCUUUUACGCCGAAUGCGUGCACAUAAAAUUGUAUUUCAACGAUAAGCAGAGAGAGCUUUUACGCUGAAGGCGUACAUAUAAAAUUUAAAUCAAAUUUUAAAAAGCUUUUCCCACUGCAUAUAUGUAUGUAUGUAUUUCGAUCGCGACUGCUGUAUUUUAGCUGUAAAAGUGUUCGUAUGAAGAAAAUUUGUGGGAAGCUUAAAGCUCUGUAUAAAAUAUACGUAAAGCUUUAAAUAGCUUCUACUGUGGCAUAGGUUUUCUUCGUGACUGACUUCGAUAAUUUAGGAAGAAAGAUCGCAGUUGCUAAAUCGUCUACAUACAUGUGUGAGCGACGACCAGAGAGUGCUUUCACUCAAUGCGCGGUAUUUGCUCACCAAGUUUAAUAACUGAUUUCGGCUCCAGCUCUCCUGCAUUCUUAUAAUUUUUGCAGCCAAAGCGCCACUGUUUAAAAAAAAGGGGGUUCGUGUUGUUGCUAAUAUGGUAAGCUGGAUUGCUGCUCGUAAGUGGUUUGUGUGCUCAAUGAAAUUUCGUGAAGAGAGCAGAAUUCAAUACGGUCAUGAUUCAAAGACAAUUUGAGUGCAAGCAGGAAAUUUUUGGCUUUAAAAAUAGGAACAUUUUAAAAUAAAAUUAUUGAUGCAUACAUAACUUUUCUGUACUACAAUAAAUUUGUUGUGCAAUUAUUUACUCUUAAGAAUUUCCUUGUGUAAUAUAAAUUUGUUAAAAAAAAUUAUAAUUGUUAAAUUAUUUAUUGUUAAUUCUUAGGAACUUUAAAUUGUUAAUUAGUUUUUAUUACAAAAAUAUUGAUGCAUUAUUAUAUUUGUUAGAACAAAACAAAAACAAAUUUAUUUAAAAAUAGAAAAUAAAUAAUCAUAAAUAUUAUUUUAAUAAUAACUGUUACAGUCCCCCACUGAACAAAGAUUUUUUCAAAGAAACUAUUCACUUAUUUAGUUUCUAACUUUUCCUUUAGUUGUUACUGAAAAAUUUGCACCUACUUUCUGGUAAAAGAUUUGCGAAAGUAGAAGGCCGGCAUACCCAAAACUUAAAACAUAAACAAACGCAGUUUUUUUUUCUUAAAAACCUUCAAAUUCGUGCAAUCUACAUAGCAAAAAAUGCAAUUUAAUUUUAUGUUCACUAAACGUAGGUAUUUUUUUUUUUUUGCAAUUUAUACAAAACUACUUUCAGUUUUCUUCUGUAUUUUUUUAUUCUAUUGCAGACUCUUGUAACCUUCCUCACAAAGCUCCACAAAACUAUUGUGGUUUCUUCAAACCUUUCGUGUUUUUUUUUCUUUUUAUAUUUUACAGUUUAUUCAGUUUUUCUUACCAACCUUUUCCGCAUCCCCAUUUGCUGAAAUUUCUAAUAAAAUUCUCUGCAUGUAUGUUUUUUACAGAAUACAAAUGAAAAAAAACUAAUAAGUGUAUGUAUUUAUUGUAUGUAUAAUAAAAUUUCUUAGAGCGAUGUUUAGAAUUGUUGUUUACGGCUAUGUCGUGUAUAAUUGUAUUUAUGAAUAAACUACAUACAUAUACUUAUAAUAAUACAUAAAACUGAAAACAAAAAUAAAUGAAACAUAACGCAGGCAACAUUGCAACCCAGAACCUGUAAAUGAAUACGCAUAUAAUUAAAAAAAAUAAUAAUAAUUAGCGUACAAGAACAUACAUACGUGCAUGUAUUAUAGGAUUGUGAAUUAAGUAAAAAAAAAAACACAGUUUCAUGCUUAGAUAUUGUUUUUAUCAAACAAUAAAUAAACUUUGCCAAGCCAUAUUUUUCUGCAAUUUACAAACAAUUUUACGCAUUGAAGGUACAGACAAUUUUUAGCUAAGUAGAAAGUAUUUUCACUCAGAUACCCGAAUUACUAAAACUUUCAACUAACUUUCAGCGAGUUAAAUUAUUACCUAAAUAAAUAUUUCGAUACGGUUUCCUACAAAACAAACACUCAAAAAAACUGGCAGAAAUCAAGUCUAUUAGCGUUCGAAAAUCCCCUUAAAAGUUAAAUCUUAGAUAAAAGUUAAUUUUGAGGCUACUACUCAAAACAGUAACCACGCAGACCUUUAGCCAUUAUGGCGCAGUUGAAAGACCAAAUUUGUAAAGCUUACUCUCGAGCUACUUAUUUAAAAUCUACUUUAGCCUACUUGAACUUAAAGAUUUUUUCUUAUUUUUCCCUAGACUAAAACCUUUGAACUCUUAACGUUCAUAAUAGAUAAUUUCACUUGAAACUAGGAAAAUGAAAAUUAUUAUUAGUAAAAAAUAAUAUAGCAAAAUAAAAAGUAUUUAAAUAUUUGAAAACAAAUAAAAAAGUAAACAAGUUCUAAAAUUAUUUAGUAUAAAUAAAUUAAAUAUAGCUGAAAACAAAAACAAAAUACAAAUUUAGUAACAAAUAGUAAACACAUUCACUACUUGCCCAUAACAAUUGGAGUUAUUACAAAAACUCAGAAAAUGGCGAGACUUAAGUUUAAUAAAUUGCAAAUUUAAAACAAACAACAACAACCAUUCUGGGUGUAAGCCUUUUAGUUACCAAAACAAAAAAAUAAUAAUAAUAAAUAAAAGUCGUAGGUAAAUAAAUUCAGUGCUGAUCAACUUAUAUUAUAGUGAAGCGCAAAGAACGUAUGUAUAUUAAACAAAACCCAAACAUAUACAUAUGUAUUAAGUUAUAUGUAUGUACAUAUAUUGGCUUGUGGAACGAUUAUAAUGAAAACUAGACAAAAUGCAAAGUGUAUAAAAAAAUUGGUUAAAAUUGCCCCGAAAACACACAAACAGAAUAGAACAGAGAAGCACACAUGAGUUUAUACAUAUAUACAUAUAUAGUAAAUGUGCCAUAUUUUAAUGUAUGUAUGUAAAUUAGAAUGGAACGUAAAUUGCAUGAAAAACUCAGCAAGGCAUACAAACAAAAACCGAAUAGCACGAGGAUAAAAGUAAAAACAUAAACUAAAUAUGCAGCAUGUAGCAAGCAAACAAGCAAUGACAUAUACAUAUAUACAAACAUACAUGCAAACAAGCGUAUAUACAAACAAGCAAACAAACAAAAUACAGAGGGAAAACUAAAUGUAUAAAAAGAAAAACCAUUUAUAUGAGUAUAUACAUUAUGUAGUUACAUUAUUAUGUUGAGCUUAAACAAAACAAGGCAAAAAUUAAACAAAACAAAAACGAAACGUUAGAACCCUAAAAGCUCCCGUGCAAACAAAAUGCAAAUAAGAAAAGCAAAAACACAAGAAAAAACUGAAUUCAUAGCGGUACAUGAAAACAAACAAAAAAUACUAAAAACAAAAAUACAAAAACAACAAACAAAAAGCAAAGAAAAAAAAACAAGAAAUGAUGUUACAUUAAUUAAAUUGUUACUUUGAAAAUUUAACACACAUAAAACUUUCAAAAAAAGAAAAACAGCAAAAAAAAACUUGAAUAAAAAUUAUAUAAACUAAAA